UGCCUAGUCGUAAACUUUAACCUACUCCUUCAUCGCCCGGGAACUACGAGCUAAGCUUAAAACCCAAAGGACUUGACGGUACCCCAUAUCCCCCUAGAGGAGCCUGUCCUAUAAUCGAUAACCCCCGUUUAACCUCACCAUUUUUUGCCAAUCAGCCUGUAUACCUCCGUCGUCAGCUUACCACAUGAGCGUUAGUGAGCCUAAUGUUUUUCCAACUACACGUCAGGUCAAGGUGCAACAUAUAAAAUGGGAAGAGAUGGGCUACACUUUCUACCAUAGAAUAAACGAAAGACUAAUGAAACCCAGUCAGAAG
rnacentral:rRNA from 1 species